rnacentral:rRNA from 1 species
UGGCUCAGAUUGAACGCUGGCGGCAUGCCUUACACAUGCAAGUCGAACGGUAACAGGUCUUCGGACGCUGACGAGUGGGGAACGGGUGAGUAAUACAUCUGAACGUGCCCAGUCGUGGGGGAUAACUACUCGAAAGAGUAGCUAAUACCGCAUACAAUCUGAGGAUGAAAGCGGGGGACCUUCUGGCCUCUCGCGAUUGGAGCGGCCGAUGGGAGAUUAUGUAUUUGGUGGGAUAAAAGCUUACCAAGCCGACAAUCUGUAUCUGGUCUGAGAGGACAACCACCCACACUGGGACUGAGACACGGCCCACACUCCUACGGGAGGCAGCAGUGGGGAAUUUUGUACAAUGGGCGAAAGCCUGAUCCACCAAUGCCGCGUGCGUGAUGAAAGCCUUCUGGUUGCAAACUGCUUUUGUACGGAACGAAAAAGCUUCUCCUAAUACAAGAGGGCCAUGACAGUACCGUAAGGAUAAGCACCGGCUAUCUACAUGCCACCAGCCGCGGUAAUACGUAUGGUGCGAGCGUUAAUCUCAAUUACUGUGCGUAAAGCGUGCGCACGCGGUUAUGUAAGACAGAUGUGAAAUCUCCGGGCUCUUCCCGGGAACUGUGUUUGUGACUGUGUGGCUAUAGUACAGUAGAGAGGGAUGGAAUUCCGCGUGUAGCAGUGAAAUGCGUAUAUAUGCGGAGGAACACCGAUGGCGAAAGCGAUCCCCUGUACCCGUACUGACGCUCAUGCGCGAAAGCGUGUGGAGCAAACAGGAUUAGAUAUCCUGUUGGUCUCCGCCCUAUACGAUGUCAACUGGUUGUUGGGAAUUAUUUUUCUCAGUAACGAAGGUAACGCGCGAAGUUGACCGCCCGGGGAGUACGGCCGCAAGGUUGAAACUCAAAGGAAUGGACGGGGGCCCGCACAAGCGGUGGAUGAUGUGGUUUAAUUAGAUGCAACGCGAAAAACCUUCCCCACCUUUGACAUGGCAGGAAGUUUCCAGAGAGGGAUUCGUGCUCGAAAGAGAACCUGCACACAGGCGGUGCAUGGCUGUCGUCAGUUAGUGUCGUGAGAUGUUGGGUUAAGUCCCGCAACGAGCGCAACCCUUGUCAUUAGUUGGUACAUUCAGUUGGGCACUCUAAUGAGACUGCCGGUGACAAACCGGAGGAAGGUGGGGAUGACGUCAAGUCCUCAUGGCCCUUAUAGGUGGGGCUACACACGUCAUACAAUGGUUGGUACAGAGGGUUGCCAACCCGCGAGGGGGAGCUAAUCCCAUAAAACCAGUCGUAGUCCGGAUCGCAGUCUGCAACUCGAGUGCGUGAAGUCGGAAUCGCUAGUAAUCGCGGAUCAGCAUGCCGCGGUGAAUACGUUCCCGGGUCUUGUACACACCGCCCGUCACACCAUGGGAGCGGGUCUCGCCAGAAGUAGGUAGCCUAACCGCAAGGAGGGCGCUCACCACGGCGGGGU